ensembl:misc_RNA Y_RNA Y RNA
GACUGGUCUGAAGGUAGAGAGUUACCUCACUUGGUUGUUCAUAGUCAGUUACAGAUUGAACUCCUUGUUCUACUCUUUCCCCCUUCUCACAAUUAUGCUUCACUAGUCUUUA